GACGUAGGGCGCGAGCGUUGUCCGGAUUUAUUGGGCGUAAAGAGCUCGUAGGCGGCUUGUUGCGUCAGCUGUGAAAACCCGCAGCUCAACUGUGGGCUUGCAGCUGAUACGGGCAGGCUUGAGUUCGGUAGGGGAGACUGGAAUUCCUGGUGUAGCGGUGAAAUGCGCAGAUAUCAGGAGGAACACCGGUGGCGAAGGCGGCAUCCUGGACCGGUAUUGACGCUGAGGCGCGAAAGCUAGGGGAGCAAACAGG
rnacentral:rRNA from 1 species